rnacentral:rRNA from 1 species
AGUGAACGCUGGCGGUAGGCCUAACACAUGCAAGUCGAACGGCAGCACAGUAAGAGCUUGCUCUUACGGGUGGCGAGUGGCGGACGGGUGAGGAAUACAUCGGAAUCUACUUUUUCGUGGGGGAUAACGUAGGGAAACUUACGCUAAUACCGCAUACGACCUACGGGUGAAAGCAGGGGAUCUUCGGACCUUGCGCGAUUGAAUGAGCCGAUGUCGGAUUAGCUAGUUGGCGGGGUAAAGGCCCACCAAGGCGACGAUCCGUAGCUGGUCUGAGAGGAUGAUCGGCCACACUGGAACUGGGACACGGUCCAGACUCCUACGGGAGGCAGCAGUGGGGAAUAUUGGACAAUGGGCGCAAGCAUGAUCCAGCCAUACCGCGUGGGUGAAGAAGGCCUUCGGUUUGUAAAGCCCUUUUGUUGGGAAAGAAAAGCAGCAGGUUGAUACCCCGCUGUUCUGACGGUACCCAAAGAAUAAGCACCGGCUAACUUCGUG